CUGAUUAAAGUUGCACCUUUUGUUCCCCCAGGGGCCUUCAUACCUCGGUGUAAUGAGGAGGGCUAUUACAAAGCCACACAGUGCCACGGCAGCACGGGGCAGUGCUGGUGUGUGGACAAAUAUGGGAAUGAGUUGGCUGGCUCCAGGAAACAGGGUGCUGUGAGCUGUGAAGAGGAGCAGGAAACCUCAGGGGAUUUUGGCAGUGGUGGGUCCGUGGUCCUGCUGGAUGACCUAGAAUAUGAACGGGAGCUGGGACCAAAGGACAAAGAGGGGAAGCUGAGGGUGCACACCCGAGCCGUGACAGAGGAUGAUGAGGAUGAGGAUGAUGACAAAGAGGAUGAGGUCGGGUACAUAUGGUAGUGCCCACAAGAAAGAGGACACAAGUUUUGCACAAAAUUGCAAGUCACUUCCUAUUCCUGCAUUUGUAUCUAAGACUCCAAGGCACCAAGGUCUCUUCUCCAUUGUUGCUCUCUAUACCCGACCUAAGGUUUGGAAGACAACUGCUUGUUCCCAGAGGAUUCUGAUUUUGCAUAUGUUUGUAUGGGAGAAAGGGUGUUGUG
rnacentral:lncRNA from 1 species